UGGUUGCCUUGGGUGAUGAUGCCAGGGUUUUCCCUGUUCCAGUUUGCUAGGGCAUGGGGCGCCUCCCGAUACCUGAUUCUGUUUGAGGGACCAGUUGGCAGAGCGUGGUUUCUCGGGGAGCGCUUCAUGUGCUAGACAUUGGGCCAUCUCGUUCAGGGGAUCCCUUCAUCGCCUCCAUUAGACAUGCGGACCACAGAGAGUCUCUCUCUCCAGGAGGUUAGCGACCUUAUGCAGGGUGCUGACGCAGUCCUUUUCCAUGAGGAGGGGGAGUACACGACAUACCUCCAUACAUACCUGAUGCCCCCGCUGACAGGUGUUCGUGUCCCAAUGAGGAGAGCUGCUGACAUUCCUUCAUCGAGCCGCGCCCGAGCUAUAGACAUCCCCUCGACUAGCAGGGCCAGCACAUCAUGAGGUAGGACUAGGGAGAUGCCCCCCGCAGUGUGCUGGGUGGCCAGAUCCUCUGAUCGAGCUAACAGGCUAGCGGCAUGGGACGCCUUAUCAGAUUUCGCUUGAGCGUCCAUUGCCAGAUCAUCGAUAUGUCAGGGCCCUUGAUUCAGCAUCGCCUUUCACAGGAUAUGUUGAGGGAUUGCUCGAGGCGAUGGCCUCACUUGAGUUUAUGGUUUUGAGGAGAGAGACGAUGUUGCACUCCCACGGCAUCCCAAUACUUUCCGAUUUCGUUGGAUUUAUCGUACUCUUGCUGAUAUAUCGAAACUGAACAUUUCACUGCACUGAUGCACUGCAUGUCACACCUCUACAGCCCGGGCCAUCCGGGCCUUCUCCAGCAGCAGGGAGCGGGAUCCCGACACACGACCGAGGGAGACGUUGAGCACCUGCCAGACGUGAUGACGAGCCUAGUGACGAGGAGGGGCCAGCAAAUCCUCAGUCAAAGGCAUCCGACGGCGGAGGUGGUCACACCGGUUCAGGUUUUGAAGGCGGAGACGAUGUCGAGGAGGAUUCCGAGGAUGGCGGCUCUGGUUCAGACGGGGGUGCCGACGGCGGUGGUGUAGAGGCUGCUCAGCCGAAGAGGGUGAAGAGGGCCUCUCGAUCCUA